rnacentral:rRNA from 1 species
CCUACGGGUGGCAGCAGUGGGGAAUAUUGCACAAUGGGGGAAACCCUGAUGCAGCGACGCCGCGUGAGUGAAGAAGUAUUUCGGUAUGUAAAGCUCUAUCAGCAGGGAAGAAAAUGACGGUACCUGACUAAGAAGCCCCGGCUAACUACGUGCCAGCAGCCGCGGUAAUACGUAGGGGGCAAGCGUUAUCCGGAUUUACUGGGUGUAAAGGGAGCGUAGGCGGUGGUGCAAGUCAGAAGGGAAAGCCCGGGGCUGAACACCGGGACUGCUUUUGAAACUGUGGGACUUGCGUGCAGGAGGGGUAAGCGGAAUUCCUGGUGUAGCGGUGAAAUGCGGAGAUAUCAGGAGGAACACCAGUGGCGAAGGCGGCUUACUGGACUGUAACUGACGUUGAGGCUCGAAAGCGUGGGGAGCAAACAGGAUUAGAUACCCGUGUAGUC